ensembl:miRNA
ACAGCGGAGGAGAAAUAAAGAGGGGCUCUUUAUUUCUCUCUCUGUCUGCCG